UACCAGCACCCCGAGUGGUCGGGACGAUUAUUGGGCCUAAAGCAUCCGUAGCCGGUUUUACAAGUCCUCCGUUAAAUCCAGCUGCUUAACAGAUGGGCUGCGGAGGAUACUAUAAGACUAGGAGGCAGGAGAGGCAAGCGGUACCCAGUGGGUAGGGGUAAAAUCCGUUGAUCCAUUGAAGACCACCAGUGGCGAAGGCGGCUUGCCAGAAUGCGCUCGACGGUGAGGGAUGAAAGCUGGGGGAGCAAACCGG
rnacentral:rRNA from 1 species